GACGAACGCUGGCGGCGUGCUUAACACAUGCAAGUCGAACGGAAAGGCCCUGCUUUUGUGGGGUGCUCGAGUGGCGAACGGGUGAGUAACACGUGAGUAACCUGCCCUUGACUUUGGGAUAACUUCAGGAAACUGGGGGUAAUACCGGAUAGGAACUCCUGCUGCAUGGUGGGGGUUGGAAAGUUUCGGCGGUUGGGGAUGGACUCGCGGCUUAUCAGCUUGUUGGUGGGGUAGUGGCUUACCAAGGCUUUGACGGGUAGCCGGCCUGAGAGGGUGACCGGCCACAUUGGGACUGAGAUACGGCCCAGACUCCUACGGGAGGCAGCAGUGGGGAAUAUUGCACAAUGGGCGGAAGCCUGAUGCAGCAACGCCGCGUGCGGGAUGACGGCCUUCGGGUUGGAAACCGCUUUCGCCUGUGACGAAGCGUGAGUGACGGUAAUGGGCAAAGAAGCACCGGCUAACUACGUG
rnacentral:rRNA from 1 species